ACACUUGAAGUCAGUCGUGUCAUCCAGGGAUCAACCUUGCUUUUGCUUGGUGCACUUCCUGGUUUGAUGGGUCAGCAUCAAUUUUGACUAUUGGAAAAAUGCUGAGGGAAUGUGGCAUCUUCGGAUGUGUUAUAGCCCUUGGUCACAUACAAUGGUUGGGAUUGAGGAACUCAGCACGCCGCAAGGCUGGGUUUUAAACCACGUACGUGCUUAGGAUGCUGGCAAUAUGGCUUUAAUCAACCUGUCUUGAAACACGGACCAAGGAGUC
rnacentral:rRNA from 1 species